AACGAACGCUGGCGGCAUGCCUAACACAUGCAAGUCGAACGAGACCUUCGGGUCUAGUGGCGCACGGGUGCGUAACGCGUGGGAACCUGCCCUUAGGUUCGGAAUAACUCCCCGAAAGGGGUGCUAAUACCGGAUAAUGUCUUCGGACCAAAGAUUUAUCGCCUUUGGAUGGGCCCGCGUUGGAUUAGCUAGUUGGUAGGGUAAAAGCCUACCAAGGCGACGAUCCAUAGCUGGUCUGAGAGGAUGAUCAGCCACACUGGGACUGAGACACGGCCCAGACUCCUACGCGAGGCAGCAGUGGGGAAUAUUGGACAAUGGGAGAAAGCGUGAUCCAGCAAUGCCGCGUAAGUGAUGAAGGCCUUAGGGUUGUAAAGCUCUUUUACCCGGGAUGAUAAUGACAGUACCGGGAGAAUAAGCUCCGGCUAACUCCGUG
rnacentral:rRNA from 1 species